GAAUGUGAGCAUGAUCUAGCUGUGACAUCUGUCUCUCCAUUAAUUGCCAGAGUUGAUUCAGAUGAUCUGGCUGGCUAAGCAAGUGUCCCCUUCCUCCCUUACCCAUUUCAUGUGCAUCUUUCCCAAAGCUGAACACUUGGUUGAAGAGGACGAUCUUCCCUCAUAGGGAAAGACCACUUCUAGGUCAAGGGUACAUGAGUAGCUGCACUUUGCUGCUAGAACCUCCAAACAACCUCUCAAGAAUGGAUUAUUUGAAAAAUAAGAGAAGUAGCCCAAAUGACUCUAUAAUUCUAACAUAUGUCUGACACAUACCUGAGGGGUU
ensembl:misc_RNA 7SK 7SK RNA